GUUUUUUCGCUCUCUCUUUCUCGAUCUGCUCUGAAGAAGAGUUUCUGUUCUGAAGAAAUCCAACCAGGUAAUAGGCUUAGAUUAUAAUCGAAGAAGAAGAGAUUUUUCACGGCCCUUCCCCUGUUGAACAGCCUCAGGUAGUUGGGGUAGCUUCAGUUGAUGUAAAGAAGCUUAAAGAUGCUAGUCUAUGCACAGUUGAAGCUGUUGCAUACUCUCCUCGGAAAGAAUUACUUCUAAUCAAAGGAAUUAGUGAUGCUAAAGUUGAUAAGAUCCUCGAAGCAGAGACAAAAUUGGUUCCAUUGGGUUUUACUAGUGCUAGUCAGCUUCAUGCACAAAGGCAAGAGAUCAUUCAGGUAACAUCAGGAUCCAGAGAACUUGACAAGGUUUUAGAAGGAGGGAUCGAGACCGGUUCUAUUGCUGAAUUGUAUGGUGGAUUCCGCUCUGGAAAGACUCAGCUGUGUCACACUUUAUUGUCACUUGCCAGCUUCCACUGGAUCAAGGUGGUGGUGAAGGAAAAGAAAUUUACAUUGUCGCCGAAAACAGUCAUAGUGCCAAGAGUAAUCUCAAAGUUGUUUGGUGGUUUGGAGAUAAUCAACUAGUAGCUUCAAGGUCUGAUUUCGAUGAAAUUGCACUUUCUAAACGGCAAAGGUCUGUUUCAGGCCACAGAGAUCUAUAGAUUGCGGACAGCUUACUACCGAGGAGCCAUGGGCAUUUUGUUGGUGUAUGAUGUUACCGAUGAAUCCUCUUUUAACACUUGUUACUGUUGUUCAACAGACCGGAAAACCUUUUAUAGAUAAAACAUGAACCCAAUGUUUUAUUGCACAAACCAGGUAUUUGGGCUAAAGUCAAAAAGCAGUAGUCUAGUGAUAUUGGAACGGCAGCUGAAUCAACCUAUAAUUUGCGGAGGAAAUUGUUUAAGCAAGCGGAGUCUCGUGAUACUUCUGGUGGUAUUUCAGUCUUUCUUUCCCUGUUUUUCAAUGCCUCUGUCAGUUGACACUAACUAGAUUACCCAUCCAUUUAUGAACAUCAACAUAGAUCGAAUAUUAUGUCAGUCACAAAAUUUUAGGUUCUCAACAAUACAGUGUACUUGUGUACAUUUGUAUCAAUUGAAGAAUCCUUUCAUUUAUAGUAUCAUGUAGUGCUGAUUCUCAACAAUACAGUUUUGUAUUGCCAUUGUAGUUUGUGUAUCACAAAUACAGUUUUGUA